UUAAAAUUCUAUCAUAAUUUAGUCUCGCUGAUGUUCUUCCUGUAUCCUGUUAAUUUUUUGAAGAAUCUUCAUGCAGCUUUUUUUGUUACAUUAAACGACUGUAAAACAGACACCAAAUAUGAAAGAAAGAAAAUAACCAUAAAUCAGAUGAUAAUUAUGAAUGAUGUCACAUGUGAAGCUGUGGUAACUAUUAACUGUUGUUGUUGGAAAAGAUCUACAUGACAAUUCUUCCAAAGGAAGAAAAAAUAACAGUAUUUGACUUGCAGUGAUGCUUGUGAGAGUAAAUAGUUUGUGUGUUACAUGGAAAAUCAUGUUUGGAACAACACAAGAAUGAGCAAAUUAUGAUUUUGUGUUUUUUUGUUGUUGUUGUUUUUUUAAAUUAUUGUUUUUUUUAAAUAUGUCUAUACAGUUUUUAUUAAAGGGGUGGUUGAUUAUGAUUUCAGUUUUUUAACUUUAGUUAGUGUGUAAUGUUGCUGUUAGAGCAUAAACAACAUCUGCAAGUUAUGACGCUCAAAGUUCAGUGCAAAGGGAGAUAUUUUCUUUUAAAGAAUUCGCUGUUUAAGGACUACAACAAACGGCUUGUAGGGACUACAAUGAGCUUCUUCCCGGGUUUUACUAAAAUUUACAUAAACCCUGCUCCCGAGAACAGGCAACAAAGGGGGUGAGGCCAAGCUGGGCUGCUUUAGAGAAGAGGAAGAGCUGUUGUAGUAAAGUGUUGUUGCCAUGUUACCACGACCUGUGCUGGUUGGAAUGCAGGAACCCUUUAUAACUGUCUGACAUCAAUCAGCAUGUGUGUCCAGGGCAUACCUGACAUUGAGGAGGAGAUGCAAGGAAAUGUGGACAUCAAAGACCAGAGAAUAGAGAGAAAAAGAUGAGUGUGAGGAGAAGAAACCAUUAAGAAAGGGAAAUGGCUUUCCAGGGUCCUUCUUGUCAAAGGUUUGCUUGUGGUCCAGAGAUUGCUCUGGGCUUCCACUCAGCCAUGUCAGAAGGGAUUUUUCAGGCUUACACCACCCCAACAGAGAACAAGAUAAACAAUGAUUCACUCCGAACAACAGCUCAUGGCCCAGAAGGCUUGUGUGGCCACUUCUAUGGCCUUUUCAGUGUAUGAUCCACUGUUGUUCCACACUUAAAUUGAACUCUUUAUGAACACUGUGUAGAGUGACAUCAUCAGUUUAACCAAUUAGAAUUAGCUCAUUACCGCACCUAUAGGGUCUUGCUUAUUUGCAAAUGUAUCCAUUGCUAUAGGGCAUUCCAGAUUUAACAAAGAAAAGAAAAUAAUAUAUAUACCUUCCAUAUAAAGUAUCUGUUUUCUACACUUUCUUUCUUUUCCUUUAGCCACCCACACGUACUCAGACAUGCGCUUCCUGCAUCCGAACUGUGGAAGCGGAUGUCAGUCCUGCCUGAAGAACAUUCUCUCCCCACUGACUCACUGCUAAACCCCGCAAUGCUGCAUGUAUGCAGAUCUCACUUUCAUGAAAAUGAAGUUGGCCUCCGAGCCUUUUGUGUUCAAAUACUAAUGUCAGCUGGGAAAUCUGCUACAUGUAAUCCUCUUUUGAAUUUGAAAGGCAAUAUGAAUGAUCAGUAAACAACGGUGAUGGGAAGAUGAACACUCUGAGGAACAACCGAGAGGUAGUGUUUGGGGGUGAAGACUAAAUAAACAGGCAGAAUUCAAAGUGUCUUGGAGGAAUCCUCAGGCAAAGAAUGGCUCCUGGUUACCUGGUUUGGAUUUUGUUGGAGAAUUCAGACGUGACAUCGUAGCUCUGUUUGAAAAGCUAGUGAGCUGUAGACAGCAUUUUAAGGUGGUCUCGAUGUGAAACUGUGAUGUGAAAAAAACUUCGGCAGCAUAGUUAAAUUGCCUUCUAAGAGAACUUCUUUUGGCCAAAUUCAAAAGCGGCAUUACAUGUAUCCUUCAAAGGCUACACUUGUGAAAAGGAAGUGUGCUUAACUGUACUGAAUGUGCACUUGUUGAGUACUUCAAACCUUAAAACUAUAUUUUUUUUUAAAAUACUGUAUUUGCAGAUAACACAAUAUUAACAAAAUAAAAGGCCUCUUAAGUGUAAACAUUCAAGACUGUUUCUUAACACACUUAAGUACACUUUUAAAAAGUGCACUUUUUAACGUCAAAUUAAAAGUUUUACUUUAAAGUACAUUUCAAAGGAUUAUGUUUAACUAAUAAUUUGUUGUGCUACAAAGAAGUACAUUUAUUUUGAUAUGUUGACUAACAUACUAAAGCACAUGUAAGGUACUUUAUUAUAAUGUUUUACCGUAGUGUAUUAUUUGAUAUUACGCUUAAAGUUAAUAUAUUUUAAAUGUACUAAAUUGCAACUUCAUUACAAAAUGCAAUUAGAAAUAUUUUUAAAUGCACAACAUAUAGCUUUUGAUAGAAAUGACAUUAAAGUGUCUUUUACUUUACCAUAAAUGCACAUUUGUGUACAUUUGGCAGCACACAUUAACCAUAUUUCAAAGACAAUAAUAUAAAUAUGUACUUCAGUCCUACUUAAGUAGGUCAAAAAAGCACUCUUAAAUUCAACUAAUUCUAUUUAAUAUAAACUAUAAUACAUUUUCAUUUAACAGUAAAUAAUAUGGAAUUAUGACAUAUGGAACUUGUCUGAAAACAUUACAUUCAGUUGGCAAAGUAUAUUCUUUUAAAGUAUAUAAUUUCCAUAAUAAGUACUAUUUUUUCAAAGUAUGCUACACUCAAAAAAUUU